rnacentral:rRNA from 1 species
ACGGGUGAGUAACACGUGGGUAACCUGCCCUGUACUCUGGGAUAAGCCCGGGAAACUGGGUCUAAUACCGGAUACGACCUUGGAUCGCAUGAUCUUCGGUGGAAAGUUCCGGCGGUAUGGGAUGGACCCGCGGCCUAUCAGCUUGUUGGUGGGGUAAUGGCCUACCAAGGCGACGACGGGUAGCCGGCCUGAGAGGGUGACCGGCCACACUGGGACUGAGACACGGCCCAGACUCCUACGGGAGGCAGCAGUGGGGAAUAUUGCACAAUGGGCGAAAGCCUGAUGCAGCGACGCCGCGUGAGGGAUGACGGCCUUCGGGUUGUAAACCUCUUUCAGCAGGGACGAAGCGUAAGUGACGGUACCUGCAGAAGAAGCACCGGCUAACUACGUGCCAGCAGCCGCGGUAAUACGUAGGGUGCGAGCGUUGUCCGGAAUUAUUGGGCGUAAAGAGCUCGUAGGCGGUUUGUCGCGUCGGCCGUGAAAACUUGGGGCUUAACCCCGAGCCUGCGGUCGAUACGGGCAGACUUGAGUUCGGCAGGGGAGACUGGAAUUCCUAGUGUAGCGGUGAAAUGCGCAGA